rnacentral:rRNA from 1 species
GAUGAACGCUAGCUACAGGCUUAACACAUGCAAGUCGAGGGACCGGCGCACGGGUGAGAAACACGUAUCCAACCUGCCCUUUACUCGGGGAUAGCCUUACGAAAGAAAGAUUAAUACCCGAUGUAAAGGAUGGGGAUGGGUUCCAUUAGGUUGUUGGUGAGGUAACGGCACACCAAGCCUUCGAUGGAUAGGGGUUCUGAGAGGAAGGUACCCCACAUUUGAACUGCGACACGGUCCAAACUCGUACGGGAGGCAGCAGUGAGGAAUAUUUGUCAAUGGGCGUUAGCCUGAACCUGCCAAGUAGCGUGAAGGAUGAAGGCGUAUGGGUCGUAAAUUUCUUUUAUAGAAGAAUAUGUAUUAGAUGAAUAAGGAUCGGCUAACUCCGUGCCAGCAGCCGCGGUAAUAC